AUUGAACGCUGGCGGCAGGCUUAACACAUGCAAGUCGAGCGGGGGAGGUUGCUUCGGUAACUGACCUAGCGGCGGACGGGUGAGUAAUGCUUAGGAAUCUGCCUAUUAGUGGGGGACAACAUUCCGAAAGGGAUGCUAAUACCGCAUACGCCCUACGGGGGAAAGCAGGGGAUCUUCGGACCUUGCGCUAAUAUAUGAGCCUAAGUCGGAUUAGCUAGUUGGUGGGGUAAAGGCCUACCAAGGCGACGAUCUGUAGCGGGUCUGAGAGGAUGAUCCGCCACACUGGGACUGAGACACGGCCCAGACUCCUACGGGAGGCAGCAGUGGGGAAUAUUGGACAAUGGGCGGAAGCCUGAUCCAGCCAUGCCGCGUGUGUGAAGAAGGCCUUUUGGUUGUAAAGCACUUUAAGCGAGGAGGAGGCUACUAGUACUAAUACUACUGGAUAGUGGACGUUACUCGCAGAAUAAGCACCGGCUAACUCUGUGCCAGCAGCCGCGGUAACAC
rnacentral:rRNA from 1 species